rnacentral:rRNA from 1 species
UGGGGAAUAUUGGACAAUGGGCGAAAGCCUGAUCCAGCAAUGCCGCGUGAGUGAUGAAGGCCUUAGGGUUGUAAAGCUCUUUUACCAGGGAUGAUAAUGACAGUACCUGGAGAAUAAGCUCCGGCUAACUCCGUGCCAGCAGCCGCGGUAAUACGGAGGGAGCUAGCGUUGUUCGGAAUUACUGGGCGUAAAGCGCACGUAGGCGGCUACUCAAGUCAGAGGUGAAAGCCCAGGGCUCAACCCUGGAACUGCCUUUGAAACUAGGUAGCUAGAAUCUUGGAGAGGUCAGUGGAAUUCCGAGUGUAGAGGUGAAAUUCGUAGAUAUUCGGAAGAACACCAGUGGCGAAGGCGACUGACUGGACAAGUAUUGACGCUGAGGUGCGAAAGCGUGGGGAGCAAACA